UACGUAGGGUGCGAGCGUUAAUCGGAAUUACUGGGCGUAAAGCGUGCGCAGGCGGUGAUGUAAGACAGUUGUGAAAUCCCCGGGCUCAACCUGGGAACUGCAUCUGUGACUGCAUCGCUGGAGUGCGGCAGAGGGGGAUGGAAUUCCGCGUGUAGCAGUGAAAUGCGUAGAUAUGCGGAGGAACACCGAUGGCGAAGGCAAUCCCCUGGGCCUGCACUGACGCUCAUGCACGAAAGCGUGGGGAGCAAACAG
rnacentral:rRNA from 1 species